UCUAGUUCUAUCUAGAACCUUCCCCCUUCCCCUCCUCUCUGAUGAGUUCCCUUCAUCUUCUCCGACCACCUUCUAACGUGAAUCCAUGGUGGUUUCACCACCCACCAGCCUCUUAUGGCUCCUCAUGCUUGGUUAGUGAAGUUUCAUGACUUGACCAUGAAAAGUUGGGUCCAUAACUCUAUUCAUUCAAGCUUUACGGCCAUCUCCGUCCUUCUUCCGUCAAGCUAUGUCUAUUUCGAGCCAAGCUCCGACUCCUCCUUUUUAGAUCCAGACCUUUCUCACCGUUUGGGUUCCUCUGAAUCCCCAGCUUUUGAGAUUUUUCUGAUCUAUGUAAAUUCGUCCCAGAUCCAUGUUUUCCCUAUGAUUUUAAACGAUUUUCUGAUAUUUUUUCAAAAGUUAUGCUUUUAAAACCUUUAUUUUCUGAUCUAUGGUUUUGAGUCAUGUUUCUCUUAUUUUCUUGUGUGUUUCUCUAAUUUUCUUUUUCUCUUGUGUGCUUCUAUGAUUUUCUUUGUCUCUUGUGUGUUUUUCUAUUAUGCCCCUCCUACUAUGUUCUUGUUAAGUUUCUUCUACCAUAUUUUUCUAUUAUAUUGCUCGUACUGCGUUCUUGUUAAAUUUCUUCUACCAUGUUCUUCUACUAUGUUUCUCCUACUGUGCUUUUGUUAAGAUUCUCCUAGCAUAUUCCUAUUUGUUUCUUCUACCAGUUCCUCUACUUUUUUUCGCAUUUUACUUUUUACUUUAUUUCUCAUGAAUUUCUGUUACUGAAAGAACAUGUUAAAAGGUCAAAGUUCCUUUCUAAGACCUUUGAACCUGUUUCAACUAGUGUCUUUUCCCCUAAUCACUUGCCUUUCGUCUCUGCACUCGGUUAAUGGCAAGAACCCUAAAUUUGGGGUUCACCGAGUUUUGAGACCCCUGGCUAUGUGAUUUGCUGGCUCUUCAUCUCUAAACUUUCCAGAUUUCAAAAACCUUAAUUUUUGGACCUAUUUGAGUUCCUGGAAUUGUUUCAUCUACUGAUUCAUUAAGUUUCAAAAUCAUUUUUUCAAUUUUAUUUCUUCAUAUGAUUCUGACUUUUGCCGAACUCUAUAAGACAUUUUACUUGAUCCCUUCUCGCAUGCCUGAUACUUGUCUACUCUUUAUAUGUGCUGGACUUCCCCUCUAAAAUGGCUUUCAAAUUUUGAUUUGUUUCAGACUUCCUUCUGUAUAUGUUUGAUUGAUUUCUCUUAUUGUUUGCUAAUUUCCCUAUG
rnacentral:lncRNA from 1 species